CAUUGCUGGAACGCGCCUCGGCGCACCCAGAAACCCUUUGUGAACCUAUACCUAUUGUUGCCUCGGCGAAGGCCGGCCUCAUCUGAGGCCCCCCGGAGACGGGGAGCAGCCCGCCGGCGGCCAACCAAACUCUUGUUUCUUAGUGAAUCUCUGAGUAAAAAACAUAAAUGAAUCAAAACUUUCAACAACGGAUCUCUUGGUUCUGGCAUCGAUGAAGAACGCAGCGAAAUGCGAUAAGUAAUGUGAAUUGCAGAAUUCAGUGAAUCAUCGAAUCUUUGAACGCACAUUGCGCCCUCUGGUAUUCCGGAGGGCAUGCCUGUUCGAGCGUCAUUUCAACCCUCAGGCCUGGCCUGGUGUUGGGGCACUGCCUUGGAGACAAGGCAGGCCCUGAAAUCUAGUGGCGAGCUCGCUAGGACCCCGAGCGUAGUAGUUAUAUCUCGUUCUGGAAGGCCCUGGCGGCGCCCUGCCGUUAAACCCCCAACUUCUGAAAUUUUGACCUCGGAUCAGGUAGGAAUACCCGCUGAACUUAAGCAUAUCAAUAAGCGGAGGA
rnacentral:rRNA from 1 species